rnacentral:rRNA from 1 species
CGGGACGGGUGAGUAACGCGUGGGUAACCGUGCCUCAUACAGGGGGAUAGCAGCUGGAAACGGCUGGUAAUACCGCAUAAGCGCACAGUACCACAUGGUACAGUGUGAAAAACUCCGGUGGUAUGAGAUGGACCCGCGUCUGAUUAGCUAGUUGGCGGGGUAACGGCCCACCAAGGCGACGAUCAGUAGCCGACCUGAGAGGGUGACCGGCCACAUUGGGACUGAGACACGGCCCAG